ensembl:lncRNA
AUGAAAAUAUUUUGUCUGGUAACAAAUAACUUUUUUUUCAUUGAAUGGGUGAAUGAAAAUAUCUUUUUUGUUUCUGAUUUGUUCAAUGCUGAUGGGGACCUUCUUUCCUUACCUGAUUUUGUGUCUUUGAAAGGUGCAACAAUCUCACUAAGAGAUUUUAAUAAGGUGACUAAAAGUAUUCCUGUCAGUUUUCCUACACUUGUGUUUAAUGGUGUUUAUGUAUUAGAUAAGAAAUGCAAUAACUUUUUUAUUAGAAAUGCUCUUUCUUCAACUCCAGGAUGCCCCUCUAAAGCACAAUCUAAAUGGAGGAUCUGUUAUCCGAACUCUGAAUUAAAAAAAUUUAUGGACCUUUUCUCACAGACUAUUAAUCCCAAAUUUUUGAGCAGAUUUUCUGAGAAUAUAUCCUCAAUGUGUUCAUUUUGUAAUUCUGAUGAAGAAUCUAUUCUACAUCUGUUUUAUCAUUGCCCAUUCUCCAAAUCUUUUUGGUCAGAAGUUACCAUGUUAAUUUUUUCUUGCUGUAAGAAAAUGAUAGAAAUAACAGAAUCUAUUAUUUUUGUGUCAGAUUUUCAUUCCAAGGACAUUAAUCUGGAACAUAUUGUUUUAUUGCUUUGUCUUCUGGGUAAAUUUCACCUUCAUAAAGCACGCAAAGCCAUCCAUUGCAAAACCUAACUUUAGAAUGUUUUCAUCUGAUAUAAAGUCCCUUUUUACUUCCUUUAAGAAUAUGUCAAAUCCUUUGAAUUCAAAGGCUUUAAAAACUUUUAACAUUAUUGAGUCUAUUGUAAGCUAUCUUUAAAAGAUUAUUCCUUUCCUUUUUUUUGUAUUUAUUUAUUUUUUAUUUAUCCUUGAUAUAUCUUGUAAAUUUGUGUAGCUUAUCUAACUUCAUGUGAUGAUGUCCGUUUGCCCCCAGUUACUUCAAAUCUACUGUUAUGCUUUCAACUGCAAAAAUCAACAACAACAACAACAACAAAACAUUGCCGGGUUCAGUCCCGAAACGAGCCCUGUGUGAACAAAAGCCAGAACCAAUGCCGUGUCGUAGUGAUGACGCACGUUAUCUGCGACUCUUUUAUCUGGUGUUUUGAAGGCAGAUCAAAGUUCGCGACGAAAAAUUAGAUGCAAACUGUAAUGAAGCAGAGAUCAAGUAGUUCCUCACUAUCCGCACUGAAGCUGAGAUCGUUCUCCAGAUUAAGGGAAAGUUAAGGUGCCUAGCGUUUUCGACUCGUGUAUAACACGUCACACCCUGAUGUAACGUGUCAUUACGGACCUUUACGGGUUGUGUGUGAACGCACGCACAUAUUCCGGGUAAUCACUGGCAGUGUGAAAGGGGCAAAAUCUAACGACCCGGGAACAAUUGCCGGGACACAUUAUCCAUGUAUUUUCCGGAAUCGCAGUGUGAAAGGGGCUUUGUUGACAAGAAUGCUCCCAUGCUGAAAGUGACCUUUCCAUAGGAUAAACAAAUCUUUAAUAAAAGUAGAUGUGUAGGUUGGAGUGUGGGCUACAAAUAUGGCAUCUUUCAUUUCGGUUGAGCAUGAUUGUUUGC